GACGAACGCUGGCGGCGUGCUUAACACAUGCAAGUCGAACGGAAAGGCCCUGCUUGCAGGGUACUCGAGUGGCGAACGGGUGAGUAACACGUGGGUGAUCUGCCCUGCACUUCGGGAUAAGCCUGGGAAACUGGGUCUAAUACCGGAUAGGAGCCAUUUUUAGUGUGAUGGUUGGAAAGUUUUUUCGGUGUAGGAUGAGCUCGCGGCCUAUCAGCUUGUUGGUGGGGUAAUGGCCUACCAAGGCGGCGACGGGUAGCCGGCCUGAGAGGGUGGACGGCCACAUUGGGACUGAGAUACGGCCCAGACUCCCACGGGAGGCAGCAGUGGGGAAUAUUGCACAAGGGGCGCAAGCCUGAUGCAGCGACGCCGCGGGGGGGAUGACGGCCUUCGGGUUGUAAACUCCUUUCGCUAGGGACGAAGCUUUUUGUGACGGUACCUAGAGAAGAAGCACCGGCUAACUACGUG
rnacentral:rRNA from 1 species